CAAGUCGAGCGAACGGACGAGAAGCUUGCUUCUCUGAUGUUAGCGGCGGACGGGUGAGUAACACGUGGAUAACCUACCUAUAAGACUGGGAUAACUUCGGGAAACCGGAGCUAAUACCGGAUAAUAUUUUGAACCGCAUGGUUCAAAAGUGAAAGACGGUCUUGCUGUCACUUAUAGAUGGAUCCGCGCUGCAUUAGCUAGUUGGUAAGGUAACGGCUUACCAAGGCAACGAUGCAUAGCCGACCUGAGAGGGUGAUCGGCCACACUGGAACUGAGACACGGUCCAGACUCCUACGGGAGGCAGCAGUAGGGAAUCUUCCGCAAUGGGCGAAAGCCUGACGGAGCAACGCCGCGUGAGUGAUGAAGGUCUUCGGAUCGUAAAACUCUGUUAUUAGGGAAGAACAUAUGUGUAAGUAACUGUGCACAUCUUGACGGUACCUAAUCAGAAAGCCACGGCUAACUACGUGCCAGCAGCCGCGGUAAUACGUAGGUGGCAAGCGUUAUCCGGAAUUAUUGGGCGUAAAGCGCGCGUAGGCGGUUUUUUAAGUCUGAUGUGAAAGCCCACGGCUCAACCGUGGAGGGUCAUUGGAAACUGGAAAACUUGAGUGCAGAAGAGGAAAGUGGAAUUCCAUGUGUAGCGGUGAAAUGCGCAGAGAUAUGGAGGAACACCAGUGGCGAAGGCGACUUUCUGGUCUGUAACUGACGCUGAUGUGCGAAAGCGUGGGGAUCAAACAGGAUUAGAUACCCUGGUAGUCCACGCCGUAAACGAUGAGUGCUAAGUGUUAGGGGGUUUCCGCCCCUUAGUGCUGCAGCUAACGCAUUAAGCACUCCGCCUGGGGAGUACGACCGCAAGGUUGAAACUCAAAGGAAUUGACGGGGACCCGCACAAGCGGUGGAGCAUGUGGUUUAAUUCGAAGCAACGCGAAGAACCUUACCAAAUCUUGACAUCCUUUGACAACUCUAGAGA
rnacentral:rRNA from 1 species